rfam:Ovis aries breed Texel chromosome 15, whole genome shotgun sequence.
UCCUUGAUAGUCCAGUGAUUAGGACUCUCUGCUUCCACGGCAGAGGGCCAAGGUUCAAGCCCUGGUCAGGGAA